rnacentral:lncRNA from 1 species
GGCGGCUCCGGAAAUCAAAGUGUAUUCGAGGAGAAGGCAGGGGCAGUAGAUCGCGAGUGCAUGCUGAAGUUGCAGAAGAAGAUUAUUUAUUUAUUUCCAUAUAAUUAGUAGUAUUUGUUAUUUAUUAUUAAUAUUAGUAUUAUUAUUGGUAGUGGGCCUUGCUUGCAUGCAUGGGCUUUAGUAGUAGGGUUUGACACUAUAUAUGUAAUGGUGGGGAGUUAGGGUUGGAGUUUUAUAAAAUCAAGUAAUUGGCGGCAGUAGCUGUGGCGGAAACCUCUGGUUUCCGAGACUAUAUUCGUGUGCUCUUGUGCGUUUAUUGAUUCGUGUUCUUAACUCCAUCAAUUUGGUCCGACCUGCCGGAUCCGAUGGUGAACCCCGACGCCGUUGAAACCCGCAUGGCGGUUCAGAACCGCCGCUUGGAAGAACUGGAGAAGACCACGAAGGACCUCUCGGUCAGUAUGGGAGGCGUCCAAUUAACCGUGGACUCGCUGCAAUCAUCCGUGGGCGGCAUCGAGGCCUCACUCGCUGAGAUCGUUGCCCAAAUCAAGUCAAUCGCUGCCGGAAAAUCAUCGGCCUCAGGGGGGCCGCCACCACCGUCGAACAAUACUGCAAUCGUGCUGCCGCGAAUGGAACUUCCGGGCUUCGACGGUUCGGACCCCAUAGCUUGGCUGGCACAGGCCGAGCAAUAUUUCCUCGUCCACAACACUCCACCCGCCCAACAGGUUUCCACCGCCCUCAUCGCGAUGUCCGGGAAGGCCAUGUUUUGGGCCCAAUGGUUGCUUCGCCGGAACGCUGCCAUCGAGUGGGAUGAAUUUUCGAAGGAGGUGAUCGGCCGUUUUGGUGAUAGCUCCGCCAUCAAUGCAUACGAGGCCAUGCACUUAACGCGCCAAACGGGGUCCCUCGAAGACUACAUCUCACUGUUCGAGGAACGUGUCGCCCAACUGCCGUCGUUACCACCCGAACACUACCUCGGUACAUUCUUGGGCGGCCUCCAGUCUUCAAUCCGUGACCGCCUGACGGACUCGGAGCUCUCAAACGUGCAGUUCGCGAUUCGAGCGGCCCGGCGCCUCGCUCGCGAGGGCAGGAGCACUGCUGCUCCGACGUGAUCGACGCCACAUUCCACACCGUUCUCGAGGCCGACGACUACGUUCCAGCGCUCAUCACUGCCCAGCGAACAGCCCCAUGGCCGGGCAGCCACCAACACCGAUCCCCGAAAUUCUCGCCGAUUGUCUCGUGCACAACAAGAUGAGUAUCGAGCCAAGGGUCUGUGCUUCCGAUGCGGCGGAAAAUACGGACCCUUGCACAAGUGCCCACCAAAAACCUUGGCCAUUCUGUUGGAUGCGGACGAGGAGGAAGAGGCCGAGGAGGAUCCCUACCCCAGCCCGUUGCAGCAUGAGGAAACUUCUGUGGAAGAGGGGGCUACGGGCGCAUUCAACCUUUUGCGUCUAUCUGAGUUAUCGUCUCAUGGCUUGGACAGCGCCCAGACGUUGAGGGUGCCGGUGCGAGUGGGAAGUCAUCAGCUUCGGGCCAUGAUCGAUAGUGGGGCGAGCCACUGUUUUAUAUCGAGCUCGGUGGCGCAGCACCUAGACCUACCAAUCACCUCAGCCCGAUCGUUUUCAGUCAUGUUGGGAGAUGGUUCAAGGGUGACAUCGCGAGGCAUUUGCGAGGCAGUUCCGAUCCUCAUGGCCGAUCAACUCUUCCACGUCGACUGCUACGUGUUUCCCCUCCGCAGUAUUGAUAUUAUUCUGGGAGUUUCUUGGUUGAUGCGAUUGGGAAAGAUCGUUGCCGAUUGGAACACGCUGACGAUGGAGUUUGUGUAUGAAGGACGCCGCAUCUGCCUCCAUGGGGACCCGGCGCUGACUCGACGGGAAUGUCGAGGUGCUGAGAUCGCGGUACUAGGGACCGAAGACGAUGCUUGGCUUCUUGGGCAUUAGAAGGUCCGCAACAUGAGUUCUCUGUUCCGGCGAACCUCACGGCAACACAACUAGAGGAGUGGCGAGCUUUGGUGGCUCGUUUUCCAGAUGUUACUCAGCCCCCAUCCGGCUUGCCACCCCCUCGACUAAGUGAUCACAAAAUUCCGCUACUCGACGGAGCUGCACCGGUAUCCGUGAGACCGUAUCGCUACAAUCACCUACAGAAGGAUGAGAUGGAGAAGCUAGUGACGGAAUGCUCGCGGCCGGCAUCAUUCAACCCAGCUGUAGCCCCUAUUCGAGUCCGGUGUUGUUGGUGCGAAAAAAGGACGGGUCGUGGCGUUUUUGUGUGGAUUACAGAGCGUUGAACAAGGUUACGAUACCGGAUAAAUACCCCAUUCCGGUUAUUCAGGAAUUGUUGGAUGAGUUACACGGUGCUCGAUGGUUCAGCAAGCUCGAUUUACGUGCAGGGUACCAUCAGAUUCGAAUUGCUGAACAUGACAUUCACAAGACGGCCUUCCGAACACAUUCUGGACAUUACGAGUUCUAGUCAUGCCCUUCGGAUUAACUAAUGCUCCAGCUACGUUUCAAAGCCUCAUGAAUGACAUUUUUCGCCCAUAUCUGAGGAAGUUUGUUCUGGUGUUCUUCGAUGACAUUUUAGUGUACAGCUCGUCGUGGGAGGAGCACAUGCAUCACUUGCAACUGGUAUUCAGCGUGCUGAACGAGCAUUCGUUGGUAGUCAAUCCAAAGAAGUGCGCAAUCGGACGAUCCCAAGUGGAAUAUUUGGGCCAUAUUGUGUCGGAGGGCGGCGUACAGAUGGAUCCGGCCAAAGUCAGCGCGGUUUUAAAGUGGCCAACACCGACUUCCUUGCGAGGGCUCCGGGGAUUUUUGGGCCUCACGGGUUAUACCGUCGUUUCAUUCGAGACUACGGCAAAAUCGCAGCUCCUUUAACGGCCCUACUUAAGAAGGAUAUUCAAAAGAAGUGGCAAUGGACGGCCGAGGCCGAUGAUGCUCUUCAGAAGCUGAAAACGGCCCUCACUUCGGCCCCGGUGCUCGGCAUGCCGGACUUCUCGCAACCAUUUGAGGUGGAGUGCGAUGCUUCAGGCCACGAUAUCGGCGCAGUUCUCAUGCAGGCACGACGCCCAAUAGCUUAUUUCAGCAAUCAUUUCUCGGGCAGAGCGUUGACGAGUUCGGCAUAUGAGAAGGAAUUGAUGGCUUUAGUCCUCGCCGUGCAGCACUGGAGAUCGUACUUGUUGGGGCGGCGUUUCGUUGUACGCUCCGAUCAGCGGAGUCUCAAGCAGCUUCUAUCUCAAACACUUGCCACCCCAGCACAGCAGAAUUGGGCGGCAAAGUUACUGGGAUACGAUUUCGAGAUUAUGUAUAAAUAAGGGAGAACGAACACUGCUGCUGACGCGUUAUCUCGCCGGGAUGAGGAGGUUGAAUUGGCGGCAGUCUCUGUGCCCCAGUGGCUGGAUUGGAAGGCCUUGGCGGAGGCGAUUCGCGCGGAUCCACACUUGGGUCGCAUUAGAAUGGCGCUCGAGGAAGAUAGAGAUGCGCCGAAGCAUUACGAGGUGGUGCAAGGUAAUUUAUUUUAUAAGGGCCGAGUGGUGCUACCGAAAAAUUCACCGUGGAUUCCGAAAUUUUUUGCGGAGUUUCAUUCGACGCCUUCCGGUGGUCAUUCGGGAGCAUUUAGAACAUAUCGUCGUAUGGCUUCGAGUUUGUAUUGGCCGGGGAUGCCGAAGUCUGUUGCAGAACUAGUGGCAGCCUGUGAUGUUUGUCAACGGAAUAAAUAUGAGACGAAGAGUCCGGCGGGCUUGUUGAAACCAUUACCAAUUCCGGAUCGCAUUUGGGAAGAUAUCAGCAUGGAUUUUAUCACUGGUCUUCCGCGUUCGGGGGGGUUUGACUGUGUGUUUGUGGUCGUCGAUAGAUUGUCGAAAUAUUGUCACUUCAUGGGGCUGCGACAUCCGUAUACGGCGAAGACGGUGGCGGAGGUAUUUGUGAAGGAAGUGGUCCGAUUGCAUGGGAUACCGGCUUCGAUAGUGUCUGAUCGGGACCCUAUAUUUCUCAGCUCUUUUUGGAAGGAGCUAUUUCGGGCAUCGGGAACGAAGCUACGCAUGAGUUCCGCCUACCAUCCGGAAACAGACGGGCAAACGGAGGUUAUGAAUCGGUGUUUAGAGACAUAUCUUCGCUGCUUUACUUCAGCUCGACCAAAGGGGUGGAGUAACUGGUUGGGUUGGGCUGAAUACUGUUUCAAUACAGGGUUUCAAACGAGUGCGGGAAUGACUCCUUUUGAAGCAGUGUAUGGGCGCCCUCCUCCUCUGCUUAUUCCUUUUCUUCCGGGGGAAAUUCGGGUACAGGCUUUGGCGGAAGAGCUACGUGAACGGGACAUGGUUAUGAAACAUCUCAGAUCUCACCUAGAGCAGGCGCAGGCGCGAUGGUGCACGAGGCGAAUAAACAUCGUCGGGACCUGGAGUUUAAAGUGGGGGACCGUGUCUUUCUCAAGUUCCGACCGUACCGGCAGCGUAGUUUGUUUGCUAUAUCACGACAGAAGUUGGCUCCACGAUUUUUUGGACCUUACGAGGUCGAGGAGAGAGUUGGGUCGGCUGCAUACCGACUGAAGUUGCCACCGGGUUCGAAGGUUCAUCCCGUAUUUCAUGUGAGUCUGUUAAAACCAGUCAUCGGGUCGGCGGAGGCCUCUCUUGCAUUGCCGGAGUCCUUGAUGACAGACGAUCCAGAGUUUUAUCCCGAUACGGUACUGCAGCGCCGUCAGAUACGCCGAAAUGGAGUUGAGGUGGCGCAGGUGUUGAUCCACUGGCGCGGGCUGCCGGCGGAGGAUAGUUCGUGGGAAGAUGUUGCUGUGGUACGGGGGCAAUUUCCUGAUUUCAACCUUGAGGACAAGGUUGUUUCGGGGACGGCGGCAAUUGAUAGCACGGCGGCUCCGGAAAUCAAAGUGUAUUCGAGGAGAAGGCAGGGGCAGUAGAUCGCGAGUGCAUGCUGAAGUUGCAGAAGAAGAUUAUUUAUUUAUUUCCAUAUAAUUAGAAGUAUUUGUUAUUUAUUAUUAAUAUUAGUAUUAAUAUUGGUAGUGGGCUUUGCUUGCAUGCAUGGGCUUUAGUAGUAGGGUUUGACACUAUAUAUGUAAUGGUGGGGAGUUAAGGUUGGAUAUCUAUCAAAAAUCAAGUAAUUGGCGACAGUAGCUGUGGCGGAAACCUCUGGUUUCCGAGACUGUAUUCGUGUGCUCUUGUGCUUUUAUUGAUUCGUGUUCUUAACUC